UACGUAGGGCGCAAGCGUUGUCCGGAAUUAUUGGGCGUAAAGAGCUCGUAGGCGGCUUGUCACGUCGGGUGUGAAAUCUCGGAGCUUAACUCCGAAACUGCAUUCGAUACUGCCGUGCUUGAGGACUGGAGAGGAGACUGGAAUUUACGGUGUAGCGGUGAAAUGCGUAGAUAUCGUAAGGAAGACCAGUGGCGAAGGCGGGUCUCUGGACAGUUCCUGACGCUGAGGCACGAAGGCCAGGGGAGCAAACGGG
rnacentral:rRNA from 1 species